rnacentral:lncRNA from 1 species
CGGGCGACCCGGAUCCAUAUCCAAGGGGGUCGAACCAAAGCCCGCCCGGGUAGCCAACGUCGGUACCCGUGAGCUUGUUGUUGGGGAAAAUGGGGUCGGUGUUCACACUUCCGGGCUUGAUGAUGUCGGCCCAUCUUCUACCCUCGGCCCACCCGAUUAGAACGAGCUCGACGAUGAAGAGUGUUGUUGUGUCGGUGAAGUACUCUUGUUCGCCGGCCGUGUACCAUGAAGGAGUGUUGAGGAUUCCGAUUUUGGUGAGGAAUUCGGGGAUGAAGAUUCCGGCGGCGCCUAGCAUGGCCCACCUGCAGUGCACUAGCUCCGCCUGCGCGUUCCAUUUCAAGCUAUCCGGGUCGGAUCCUAUAUUUAUUAUAUAUAAUAAAACAGCUGUUAGGUUAAUUCUAUUCUACACUCGGUGAAAGGUUACACCGGGUGAUUCUUAACUGAUGAUCUACACACACCAACAUGGGUAUGUGUGUUUUUGUGUGUAUAUGAAUGUUAAAGAUCUAUCCGGUGUAGCAUAAUAUAAACCCAAUUGUUACAUGUUUUUUAGGUUUUGAAUUACUUAAUGAGUGUGUUCAUAACCGACAACACUAAGGCCUCGUUUGGUUAGCGCAUCUCCAACCAUUGUUGACACAAUGGAAAGGUAAAAUAUAGCUUUUUUCUAACUAAUAAGCUUAAGUUAUUAGUGAAAUAUGUUAUUUAAUAUUAAUACCUCCAAUAAUAGUAAGGUGGUUCGAUUAAUUAACUAACUACUAUAAUUUGAUGUUUCGUUCCAACCAACAAUUACGAAAAAAAAUGAUCUAUGUUCUUGAUUUAGAACCAAACGAGGCCUUAGAGCGUUUUAAGUGAUGUUUGAGGACUUACCUAGGCCAAGAGGGUCGAAUCCGAAAUCUCCGGGGAGGCUGCAAAAUUGAGUGAUUACGAAGAUUAGACGCAUUUCGAAGCAUUUUUUGAUAAACUAUUUAAAGUAAAAAAAAUUUAAAAAAAAAAAAUUUGUUGGUAUGUAUUGAAAUUACCUGCCGUCGAGCCAUUCGGGAGGGGUGCUACCGGGGAACCAGAUAGGUCUAUCUGGAUCGGCCGCAACGCACACGGCAACCGAUCUUGUGUUGGAAGGUGCUGCAAACUUACUCACUCUCAAUUUUCUUCCUCCAAAGAAAGAAGCCUUUGUUGCUCCCACAAUCGCUCCAUUCUUUUGUGAA